UAUACAUGCAAGUCGAGCGGACAGAAGGGAGCUUGCUCCCGGAUGUUAGCGGCGGACGGGUGAGUAACACGUGGGUAACCUGCCUGUAAGACUGGGAUAACUCCGGGAAACCGGAGCUAAUACCGGAUAGUUCCUUGAACCGCAUGGUUCAAGGAUGAAAGACGGUUUCGGCUGUCACUUACAGAUGGACCCGCGGCGCAUUAGCUAGUUGGUGGGGUAAUGGCUCACCAAGGCGACGAUGCGUAGCCGACCUGAGAGGGUGAUCGGCCACACUGGGACUGAGACACGGCCCAGACUCCUACGGGAGGCAGCAGUAGGGAAUCUUCCGCAAUGGACGAAAGUCUGACGGAGCAACGCCGCGUGAGUGAUGAAGGUUUUCGGAUCGUAAAGCUCUGUUGUUAGGGAAGAACAAGUGCGAGAGUAACUGCUCGCACCUUGACGGUACCUAACCAGAAAGCCACGGCUAACUACGUGCCAGCAGCCGCGGUAAUACGUAGGUGGCAAGCGUUGUCCGGAAUUAUUGGGCGUAAAGGGCUCGCAGGCGGUUUCUUAAGUCUGAUGUGAAAGCCCCCGGCUCAACCGGGGAGGGUCAUUGGAAACUGGGAAACUUGAGUGCAGAAGAGGAGAGUGGAAUUCCACGUGUAGCGGUGAAAUGCGUAGAGAUGUGGAGGAACACCAGUGGCGAAGGCGACUCUCUGGUCUGUAACUGACGCUGAGGAGCGAAAGCGUGGGGAGCGAACAGGAUUAGAUACCCUGGUAGUCCACGCCGUAAACGAUGAGUGCUAAGUGUUAGGGGGUUUCCGCCCCUUAGUGCUGCAGCUAACGCAUUAAGCACUCCGCCUGGGGAGUACGGUCGCAAGACUGAAACUCAAAGGAAUUGACGGGGGCCCGCACAAGCGGUGGAACAUGUGGUUUAAUUCGAAGCAACGCGAAGAACCUUACCAGGUCUUGACAUCCUCUGACAACCCUAGAGAUAGGGCUUUCCCUUCGGGGACAGAAUGACAGGUGGUGCAUGGUUGUCGUC
rnacentral:rRNA from 1 species